UGUGCAAGUGGAUGUCAAGAUGGCCA
rnacentral:piRNA from 1 species